UUGGAGGGCAAGUCUGGUGCCAGCAGCCGCGGUAAUUCCAGCUCCAAUAGCGUAUAUUAAAGUUGUUGCAGUUAAAAAGCUCGUAGUUGAACUUCGGGACCAUCAUGUCGGUCGUGCCUCGGUACGUACUGGCAUUGUUGGUUUCUCCCUUCUGACGAACCUUGAUGUCAUUUAUUUGGUGUUGUGGGAAAUCAGGACUGUUACUUUGAAAAAAUUAGAGUGUUUAAAGCAGGCUCACGCUUGAAUACAUUAGCAUGGAAUAAUGAAAUAGGACGUUUGAUUCUAUUUUGUUGGUUUCUAGGAUCGACGUAAUGAUUAAUAGGGAUAGUUGGGGGCAUUAGUAUUCAAUUGUCAGAGGUGAAAUUCUUGGAUUUACUGAAGACUAACUACUGCGAAAGCAUUUGCCAAGGAUGUUUUCAUUAAUCAAGAACGAAAGUUAGGGGAUCGAAGACGAUCAGAUACCGUCGUAGUCUUAACCAUAAACUAUGCCGACUAGGGAUCGGAUGAUGUUAAUUUUUUAAUGACUCAUUCGGCGCCUUACGGGAAACCAAAGUGUUUGGGUUC
rnacentral:rRNA from 1 species